rnacentral:rRNA from 1 species
UACGGAGGGGGCUAGCGUUGUUCGGAAUUACUGGGCGUAAAGCGCACGUAGGCGGCUUUGUAAGUUAGAGGUGAAAGCCCCGGGCUCAACUCCGGAACUGCCUUUAAGACUGCAUCGCUCGAAUCAUGGAGAGGUCAGUGGAAUUCCGAGUGUAGAGGUGAAAUUCGUAGAUAUUCGGAAGAACACCAGUGGCGAAGGCGACUGACUGGACAUGUAUUGACGCUGAGGUGCGAAAGCGUGGGGAGCAAACAGG